rnacentral:rRNA from 1 species
AGAGUUUGAUCCUGGCUCAGAAUCAACGCUGGCGGCGUGCGUAACACAUGCAAGUCGGACGAGAAAGCGGGGGCAGCCUCGUGAGUAAAGUGGCAGACGGGUGAGUAACACGUGAACAAUCUACCCCUGAGUGGGGAAUAACCCCGCGAAAGCGGGGCUAAUACCGCAUAACAUCCUUUUAUCGCAUGGUGAAGGGAUCAAAGGCGCAAGUUGCUCGGGGAGGAGUUCGCGGCUGAUUAGCUAGUUGGUGAGGUAACGGCCCACCAAGGCGACGAUCAGUAGCCGGCCUGAGAGGGCGUACGGCCACACUGGAACUGAGACACGGUCCAGACUCCUACGGGAGGCAGCAGUGGGGAAUUUUGCGCAAUGGGCGAAAGCCUGACGCAGCAACGCCGCGUGGAGGAUGAAGGUCUUCGGAUCGUAAACUCCUGUCAGUGGGGACGAAAGCCCGCAAGGGUUUGACUGUACCCGCUGAGGAAGCCACGGCUAACUCCGUGCCAGCAGCCGCGGUAAUACGGAGGUGGCAAGCGUUGUUCGGAAUUACUGGGCGUAAAGGGCGCGUAGGCGGCAUGGCAAGUCAGAUGUGAAAGCCCCGGGCUUAACUCGGGAAUUGCAUCUGAAACUGCUUUGCUUGAGUCCUGGAGGGGGUAGUGGAAUUCCCAGUGUAGCGGUGAAAUGCGUGGAUAUUGGGAGGAACACCGGUGGCGAAGGCGGCUACCUGGACAGUGACUGACGCUGAUGCGCGAAAGCUAGGGGAGCAAACGGGAUUAGAUACCCCGGUAGUCCUAGCUGUAAACGAUGGGCACUUGGUGUCGGGGGUAUUGAGUCCCCCGGUGCCGGAGUUAACACGUUAAGUGCCCCGCCUGGGGAGUACGGUCGCAAGACUGAAACUCAAAGGAAUUGACGG